rnacentral:rRNA from 1 species
GUUUGAUCCUGGCUCAGAGCGAACGUUAGCGGCAGGCUUAACACAUGCAAGUCGAGCGAGAAAGGGGCUUCGGCUCCGAGUAAAGCGGCGGACGGGUGCGUAACACGUGGAUAAUCUGCCUCGUGGCGGGGGACAACAGUCCGAAAGGACUGCUAAUACCGCAUGUCAGGUCGGAAACUCCGGUUUCUGACGAAAAAGAGGGCACCCGCAAGGGGCUCUCACCACGAGAUGAGUCCGCGUCCCAUCAGCUAGUUGGCGGUGUAAUAGACCACCAAGGCUUAGACGGGUAGCUGGUCUGAGAGGAUGUACCAGCCACACUGGGACUGAGACACGGCCCAGACUCCUACGGGAGGCAGCAGUGGGGAAUAUUGGACAAUGGGCGAAAGCCUGAUCCAGCCAUGCCGCGUGAGUGAUGAAGGCC